AGAUUGAACGCUGGCGGAAUGCUUUACACAUGCAAGUCGAACGGCAGCACGGGGGCAACCCUGGUGGCGAGUGGCGAACGGGUGAGUAAUACAUCGGAACGUGCCCAGUCGUGGGGGAUAACUACGCGAAAGCGUAGCUAAUACCGCAUACGAACUCUGGUUGAAAGCGGGGGACUCGCAAGAGCCUCGCGCGAUUGGAGCGGCCGAUGGCAGAUUAGGUAGUUGGUGGGGUAAAGGCUCACCAAGCCGACGAUCUGUAGCUGGUCUGAGAGGACGACCAGCCACACUGGGACUGAGACACGGCCCAGACUCCUACGGGAGGCAGCAGUGGGGAAUUUUGGACAAUGGGCGCAAGGCCUGAUCCAGCCAUCCGCGUGCAGGAUGAAGCCCUCGGUGUAAACUGCUUUGUACGGAACGAAAAGCGCUGAAGUUAAUACCUCGGCGUCAUGACGGUACCGUAAGAAUAAGCACCGCUAACUACGUGCCAGCAGCCGA
rnacentral:rRNA from 1 species